rnacentral:rRNA from 1 species
CCUACGGGCGGCAGCAGUGAGGAAUAUUGGGCAAUGGGCGCAAGCCUGACCCAGCAACGCCGCGUGAAGGAAGAAGGCUUUCGGGUUGUUAACUUUCUUUGACAGGGAAGAGCAGAAGACGGUACCUGUCGAAUAAGCUACGGCUAACUACGUGCCAGCAGCCGCGGUAAUACGUAGGUGGCAAGCGUUAUCCGGAUUUACUGGGUGUAAAGGGCGUGUAGGCGGGACUGCAAGUCAGAUGUGAAAACCACGGGCUCAACCUGUGGCCUGCAUUUGAAACUGUAGUUCUUGAGUACUGGAGAGGCAGACGGAAUUCCUGGUGUAGCGGUGAAAUGCGUAGAUAUUAGGAGGAACACCAGUGGCGAAGGCGGUCUGCUGGACAGCAACUGACGCUGAGGCGCGAAAGCGUGGGGAGCAAACAGGAUUAGAUACCCUAGUAGUC